rnacentral:rRNA from 1 species
ACGAACGCUGGCGGCGCGCCUAACACAUGCAAGUCGAACGAGCGAGAGAGAACUUGCUUUCUCGAGCGAGUGGCGAACGGGUGAGUAACGCGUGAGGAACCUGCCUCAAAGAGGGGGACAACAGUUGGAAACGACUGCUAAUACCGCAUAAGCCCACGACCCGGCAUCGGGUUGAGGGAAAAGGAGCAAUCCGCUUUGAGAUGGCCUCGCGUCCGAUUAGCUAGUUGGUGAGGUAACGGCCCACCAAGGCGACGAUCGGUAGCCGGACUGAGAGGUUGAACGGCCACAUUGGGACUGGGACACGGCCCAGACUCUUACGGGAGGCAGCAGUGGGGAAUAUUGCACAAUGGGGGAAACCCUGAUGCAGCGACGCCGCGUGGAGGAAGAAGGUCUUCGGAUUGUAAACUCCUGUUGUUGAGGAAGAUAAUGACGGUACUCAACAAGGAAGUGACGGCUAACUACGUGCCAGCCGCCGCGGUAA